rnacentral:rRNA from 1 species
CUGCUGCCUUCCGUAGGAGUUUGGGCCGUGUCUCAGUCCCAAUGUGGCCGUCCACCCUCUCAGGCCGGCUACUGAUCGCUGCCUUGGUGGGCCGUUACCCCGCCAACUAGCUAAUCAGACGCGGAUCCAUCGUAUACCACCGGAAUUUUUCACACUGCCCCAUGCGGAGCCGUGCGCUUAUGCGGUAUUAGCACCUAUUUCUAAGUGUUAUCCCCCGGUAUACGGCAGGUUAUCCACGCGUUACUCACCCGUCCGCCA